CAGCCGCCGCGGUAAUACGAAGGGGGCUAGCGUUGUUCGGAUUUACUGGGCGUAAAGGGCGCGUAGGCGGGCUGAUCAGUCAGGGGUGAAAUCCCAAGGCUCAACCUUGGAACUGCCUUUGAUACUGUCGGUCUUGAGUUCGAGAGAGGUAAGUGGAACUGCGAGUGUAGAGGUGAAAUUCGUAGAUAUUCGCAAGAACACCAGUGGCGAAGGCGGCUUACUGGCUCGAAACUGACGCUGAAGCGCGAAAGCGUGGGGAGCAAACAGGAUUAGAUACCCCCGUAGUCCCUGUCUCUUAUAC
rnacentral:rRNA from 1 species